GCUGGGCAUAGUGACGCAUACCUGUAAUCCCAGCAGCUUGGGAGGCUGAGGCAAGAGGAUUGCAAGUUCAAAGCCAGCAUCAUUAAAAGCAAGGUGCUAAGCAACUCAGUGAGACCCUGCCUAAA
rnacentral:sRNA from 1 species